rnacentral:tRNA from 1 species
GGGUCGAUGCCCGAGUGGUUAAUGGGGGCGGAUUGUAAAUCCGUUGGUGAAGACCUACGCUGGUUCAAAUCCAGCUCGGCCUA